rnacentral:lncRNA from 1 species
AUGGAACUAUGUGAUAAAACAUAUGACAUGUUUUUCUUCUGUGUUUCUACUCCCACAGUUCUUUCUCUGAAUGUGGAUAGUGUUCUUUCUCACAAGUGCCUCUUGAUUAUCCUGGGUCACUGCAUUGCCGCUGUGGUGGCACAUCACACAACUGUGUAGCAGAACCAAAUCCAAUCUGGCCUCAGACAUCAACUCUGCAGGUCUGGAAGAAGCUGGGCAGCUACUAACUCUCUAGCAAUAGGAUGUGGGCCCUGUUACUCCAUAUCGCUCCUGC